rnacentral:rRNA from 1 species
GCCUAUGGCCGUGCCACCCUAAACGUGUCUGAUCUUGUCUGACCUCAGAAGCCAAGCAGGGUCAGGCCUGGUUAGUACUUGGAUGGGAGACCACCUAGGAAGGUGCCGUAGGCG